rnacentral:rRNA from 1 species
UACGUAGGGAGCAAGCGUUGUUCGGAUUUACUGGGCGUAAAGGGCGCGUAGGCGGCGCGGUAAGUCACUUGUGAAAUCUCUGAGCUUAACUCAGGACGGCCAAGUGAUACUGCAGUGCUAGAGUGCAGAAGGGGCAAUCGGAAUUCUUGGUGUAGCGGUGAAAUGCGUAGAUAUCAAGAGGAACACCUGAGGUGAAGACGGGUUGCUGGGCUGACACUGACGCUGAGUGCGCGAAAGCCAGGGGAGCAAACGGGG